rnacentral:lncRNA from 1 species
GGGAGAGCUCACAGGCACAAGAAUAACGCUGCUGUGAUAAUAAACCCACUCCUGGGACAGCAACAUUCAUCCCGUCAUGAGAACAGAGCCCUCAUUCAUCCAUUCAUCUCAUCAUAGGGGCAGAAGGAUUACAUUUCUAACACAUGAACUUUUGGGGGACACAUUCAAUACCUAGCACUCCCAAAAUAUUCACUAAGAGUGAGAGUAAAUUGAUUUAAUUUCAGACUGUUCUUGGCAGUCCAUAAGUAGAGAUUUCCAAGUUUUACAAUAGAGAAUUAAAAUGAUUGAAAAAUAUUCUAAAAAAAAAAAAACAACCUGCAGAAGAAAGCUAGAAAAUCAGAAGAUGAAAUAUUUUUUAGGCAUAAAAUAUGCAUGCAGUUUAUAGACAAUGGAGAUGUGCUAACUCUUGAAAACGUGCUUCGACAUCUCAAAUUGCUUAAGGCUUUUGCAACAAAAUAACUUACCAGUGUCAGGCCAUGGUAGAAUAUGAGUUCACAAUGAAUUUUUAUGCCUGGGUUUCUGUGACCCAAGUUAUGCUGAAGAAUAUGAGAGACACCACCUUUUAAAAAUUUUUACAUAGCCUGCGGCCACUGCAAUUCGUUAAUCCCUUUGGAAAAUUGCUUAAGCCUGGCAUGUUUUGUAAUGAACUUUAUCUCUUCACUACCAAAAGUCGUAAAAAGGAACUUCAGUGAGGAAAGAAACACAAUUGAUAAUUGAAUAUUUCAAAGAGAUCAGCAUUUUAGAAAACUGGUUGAGAAGAAUACAUUUCAAGAGAUGCUCUUGGAAAACACGUUUGAUGGAGAGGUUGAUUUUUGUAACCUGUAUGCCGUAGUCAGGAGGGAAAUUUGGACAUGGACACAUAGGGAAGACAGCCAUGUGGAGACAGAGGCAGAGGUGGACCUGCUGCCGCAAAACCACAGGGCGCCAAGUACUGUGGGCCACUGAGAAAACUAAAGGAGAGGAAGGAUUCUUCCCUGGAGCUUUGGAGAGGGUGCGGCCCUACUUUCACCUGGAUUUCAGACUUCAGACUUCCAGAACCAUGAAGGAAUAAGCUCUCUUUGUUUCAAAACCACUCAGUCAAGGCACUUUGUUACAACAGCCUAGGAAACUAAUACAGGAAUUGGUAUUAGUAAAAUCAUUAUUGUUGGCUC